UCUUAGAGCUUUUUCCUCCUCCAAGUCACAGCAUAUUCUAAGCAAAUAAGGUAGGUUUUAUCAGCCUGUUUUUGUUUGUUUAACAGUGAGGUGAACUGUGACCCCCCAGAAAGUGCCUGCUGCCCUCAAGCAGCUGCAAAGGGAGCCUGGGCUGGCCUGCUCCUGUGUUGACAUCCCGGCAACAGGAACACGUUUGGUUGGAGUAACCCCAGCAUUCCAGAAGGGCACCUGCUGCAAGCACCUGCACCCCUGCGUGUCCCUGUAAAGUGCAGCUCUAACACAAGCUCUGACAACAUCGUGUCAUUUGAAGAUUACCCAUCCAUCUAGGAUGGCUUGCUGGGUCUCUGUCAAUAGAGAUUUCCAGACAAAAGUGCCCUCGCACCGUGCCUGCUCACAGCCCCUGUGCGAGGCUCUGGGAGCCAGAUGUAUUGUGCCACAGCAGAUGUCAGCAGCAUAUGGAAGAAGGAAGGAGAAAACGAUAAUCUAAAACCAGGAAGGCUAGUGAACUUCUGGAGGCACUGCUGGAGCUGAAACCUGCAUGUGGGGCACCUGCAGCUCUGUCUCAUGAGCUGGCAGCAGAGCUCAGGAGUCUUCUGAAGUGGGCACCACAGCAAGGUCAUGACCUUCCUGAAGAAAACAACUGCAGAGCAUCUGCUGAAGAAACAGUCUUUCAAGUUAAAUCCUGACAAGUGCAGAUAUAUUGUCAUCCUUCUUUACUUUAGGAUGAAUUCUCCAGGCUUUUGCAACAGUGCAAAUGUGGUGAUAAUACAGGGACCUGAGAUUUUAACUCCAAGUUUUACAUAACUCAGUGAGUGUGCAUAUGUGUAUGUCUAUAUGUGUAUAUAUAUAUGUAUAUCUAUAUAUACACUGCUACUUUCAUCUGAAGUCCACAUUUAAAUUGUGAAUGUAUGAUGAUGGUUGGACUCAAUCCUAUAGGUCUUUUCCAACCUUAAUGAUUGUAUGAGUCUAUUAGAUGAACUGACCCUUUGUCAUGGUUUGACCCUGGCACAAUGCCCUUGACAGAGUUGAAGAAUUUUCUUUAUUGUUGCUUUACUUCUUUUUUUAGGCUGUCACAAAGAGCUCAUGUGGUGAUUCCAUGUUGCCCAAGGGAGCCCAUAAAGUUCAAUGCUGCUAUUUUACAGACACUGGCUGUGAUGCCAUAGGAAAGGUAAAGCAGACCUGUGUAACUACUGAAGCCCACUCUGCUUUCUUUACUAUCUAGAACAGGGCACAGCUCAUGCUCACUGAAAGAGAGGGGUCUUUUCUGUAUUCUCCA